rnacentral:rRNA from 1 species
UAGGUGAACCUGCGGAAGGAUCAUUACCGAGUUGAUUCGGGCUCCGGCCCGAUCCUCCCACCCUUUGUGUACCUACCUCUGUUGCUUUGGCGGGCCGCGGUCCUCCGCGGCCGGCCCCCCUCCCCGGGGGGUGGCCAGCGCCCGCCAGAGGACCAUCAAACUCCAGUCAGUAAACGAUGCAGUCUGAAAAACAUUUAAUAAACUAAAACUUUCAACAACGGAUCUCUUGGUUCUGGCAUCGAUGAAGAACGCAGCGAAAUGCGAUAAGUAAUGUGAAUUGCAGAAUUCAGUGAAUCAUCGAAUCUUUGAACGCACAUUGCGCCCUUUGGUAUUCCGAAGGGCAUGCCUGUUCGAGCGUCAUUACAACCCUCAAGCUCUGCUUGGUAUUGGGCACCGUCCUUUGCGGGCGCGCCUCAAAGACCUCGGCGGUGGCGUCUUGCCUCAAGCGUAGUAGAACAUACAUCUCGCUUCGGAGCGCAGGGCGUCGCCCGCCGGACGAACCUUCUGAACUUUUCUCAAGGUUGACCUCGGAUCAGGUAGGGAUACCCGCUGAACUUAAGCAUAUCAAUUAAGCGGAGGA